rnacentral:rRNA from 1 species
CAGCAGCCGCGGGAAUACAGAGGGUGCGAGCGUUAAUCGGAUUUACUGGGCGUAAAGCGUGCGUAGGCGGCUUCUUAAGUCGGAUGUGAAAUCCCUGAGCUUAACUUAGGAAUUGCAUUCGAUACUGGGAAGCUAGAGUAUGGGAGAGGAUGGUAGAAUUCCAGGUGUUGCGGUGAAAUGCGUAGAGAUCUGGAGGAAUACCGAUGGCGAAGGCAGCCAUCUGGCCUAAUACUGACGCUGAGGUACGAAAGCAUGGGGAGCAAACAGGAUUAGAUACCCCCGUAGUCCCUGUCUCUUAUAC